UACGGAGGGGGCGAGCGUUAUUCGGAAUUAUUGGGCGUAAAGGGCGCGUAGGCGGCUUCAUAAGUCAAAGGUGAAAUCCCUCGGCUCAACUGAGGAACUGCCUUUGAAACUGUGGAGCUUGAGGCCGGGAGGGGGUAGCGGAAUUCCCAGUGUAGCGGUGAAAUGCGUAGAUAUUGGGAGGAACACCAGUGGCGAAGGCGGCUACCUGGACCGGUACUGACGCUGAUGCGCGAAAGCGUGGGUAGCAAACAGG
rnacentral:rRNA from 1 species